rnacentral:rRNA from 1 species
UGGGGAAUUUUGGACAAUGGGGGAAACCCUGAUCCAGCCAUCCCGCGUGUGCGAUGAAGGCCUUCGGGUUGUAAAGCACUUUUGGCAGGAAAGAAACGUCGCGGGUUAAUACCCCGCGAAACUGACGGUACCUGCAGAAUAAGCACCGGCUAACUACGUGCCAGCAGCCGCGGUAAUACGUAGGGUGCAAGCGUUAAUCGGAAUUACUGGGCGUAAAGCGUGCGCAGGCGGUUCGGAAAGAAAGAUGUGAAAUCCCAGAGCUUAACUUUGGAACUGCAUUUUUAACUACCGGGCUAGAGUGUGUCAGAGGGAGGUGGAAUUCCGCGUGUAGCAGUGAAAUGCGUAGAUAUGCGGAGGAACACCGAUGGCGAAGGCAGCCUCCUGGGAUAACACUGACGCUCAUGCACGAAAGCGUGGGGAGCAAACAGGAUUAGAUACCCUGGUAGUCCACGCCCUAAACGAUGUCAACUAGCUGUUGGGGGCCUUCGGGCCUUGGUAGCGCAGCUAACGCGUGAAGUUGACCGCCUGGGGAGUACGGUCGCAAGAUUAAAACUUAAAUGAAUUGACGGGGGUCAUAGCUGUUU